rnacentral:lncRNA from 10 species
UCUCCCAAGCCCUUGGUCUCAGCACCAUUCUCCACCUCUUUUUCCCCCCUGACAAUCCACAGGCCUGGCCUGUGGCUGCCUUAACUACAACAGAGCAAUGGGAAGACUGGACUGGAUGAACUGAGAUGGAUUCAGGCUCCGGAAGAGCUUAGAAGCCCCAGGAGUUCAGCGUUAACCCAACAGAAAAUAAGCAGCCGUUGAAAGUUAUGAGCAGUGGAUGAUUGAUGCGUGAAUGAAUUAAAAUGUAUAAAAGCUGGUGCUCAAUGCUUUAAGGGACUUGAAGAGCUUAUCUGGGCCCACACUACAUCUUUGAGUGAAGGUGAAGAGGAACAUUCAGGAUCCUUCUUGACCUCUCGUAAUGGGCUACAUUUCCUUCAUGUUGACCUCAUAGAAGAUGUAGAAUCUGCUCUUCCAUGUCAUUUGAAGAGGAUCUCUCCCUCCUCGCAAGGCUGGGAGACAUGAAGUAGAGGCAAAGAAGCAGAUAGAACAGGCUCAUCACAAGUUGAUCAACCUG